CCAUUGAAAAAGUAAACAAAAAGACGUGGUGAGGAUCUGUUGUUGCGGAGAUGUAGUUUUGUACCGGAAGUAGUUCUGUCAUUAAGCCGUCACGUUGCUUCCAGUCGGGUUUCCUCCACAAUUUCUCCUGCGAUGACCAAACUCAAGAUAGGAAUUAUCUGUGGUAGUGGUUUACAAGAGUUGGAUUUUUUAAAGGAUAAGUAUGAAAAAGAUGUGACUACACCUUUUGGGAAGCCAUCCCAAACACUGACGUGUGGAACUGUUGAAGAUGUCCAGUGUGUUAUUUUGUCCAGGCAUGGGGCCAAGCAUACCAUCAUGCCAACCUUGGUCAACUACCGAGCUAACAUCCAUGCCUUGAAAGAAGAGGGUUGCACACACAUCUUGGCCACGACAGCCUGUGGGUCAUUACAAGAAUCUAUUUCCCCUGGGGACAUCGUUGUUCUUGACCAGUUCAUCGACAGGACCACCAAGCGAUGCCCAACCUUCUUCGAUGGCUCUGACAUUGCUCCCAAAGGAAUAUGUCAUUUAGAAAUGCAUACUCCAUUUUCACCAAAACUAGCAAAGCUUCUGCAUGAUACAUCAGCAAAACUGGGUUACAAGACACAUCCUACUGGCACCGUGGUGACAAUUGAAGGACCAAGAUUCUCAACUAGAGCUGAAAGUAAAAUGUUCCGAUCUUGGGGAGGUCAUAUUAUCAAUAUGACAACAGUUCCGGAGGUGAUAUUGGCAAAGGAGUUGGCCAUGUGUUAUUCUAGCAUUGCUCUGGUCACUGACUAUGACAGUUGGAGAGAGAACGAAGAUGGUGUUUCAGUUGAUGCUGUUCUGAAGACUUUCAAAGAAAAUGCUGUAAAAGCUGAAAACAUCCUCAAAUCUGUCAUCCCAGAGAUUGCCAAACAUAAUUGGACAGAUGAAUUGCAACACAAUAAGACAGUUUAACUCUAAAAAUCCAAGCCUGCUCCUCCUCCUCCUCCUCAUCUGUGAUGCCAUCUCGUAGAACCUGCUGGAAAUAGGAUCGACCAAGGGAGAUAACCGAGUUUUAAAUAGUUAAAAGAUAAGCCGUCAGGAGGUCCUGACCGGUUCCAUUCUUUCUUACACCUGAACAAAUGCUGCUUGUGUAAUUCUAAGUUUGAAAGCAAAUUCUUUCCUCAUUUGCAAAGUAAUCACUCCAACAUUACUUUUUUUUUUUUUUUAAGUCUUGAAU